ensembl:lncRNA novel transcript
CCACCGAGCCCGGCUAAGUAAUGAUUUUCUAUUCGUUUCUUCCUUCUAUCUCCCCGCCCCCUCUUCUUUUAUAAGUGUCCUUAUUGGAUUUUUUUCUCUGAUCAUCGGUAGGGAAGGUGAGUGGAUGAGGGAGACCAGUUAGAGGGCUGGAAAAAUGGUCUCAGAAGAGAACAGUGCAGAUGGUGAGAAGUGGAUGUGUUGGACUAGAAAUGGAUAAAAUCCACAGAAGUUACAUAUGGGAAGGAUGAGGCCCACCAAGAGCCAGUGACAUGCCUCAAGGUUAUGUAAUUGACCAAGGGACAGAUCAGGGAAUCUAGGCCUACAUCCCUGCGGCCCCUAGACUAUCUCAAUACCUGGAUAUAUCACUUAUCUACUCUAUUCUACAUAUUGUCCAGGGGUAUGGAGAUAUCUGGCCUAAUCACAAUUCAUCACUCAGAGUGCUGCAUGUAACAAGGGUGUGUGCACACUUGAGAAGCCAAAAGGGGACCUACUGACUUCUGGACUUCUGAGAAGUACGUCAUAUCUUCCCACAGCUUCAGAACUUGGAGUUUCAGGGAAUCUGUUGACGACUGGGCCAUGGAAUUAGAGGGGCAUGUUUUGGACUACGAGCAGUGGAGAUAAGAAUCCCCAACUCAUCCAUCAUCAGCUUUGUAAGAGUGGGAGGGCAGACUCUGCCUCUGUGGCGCUGUCCCUAAACCUCUCUUGGAGUCAGAGUACCCAGCUUAAGAAAGCACCUAUGGAACAAGGAAGGAACUACCCCUGCCAAGAUGAAGCAGCACCACUGGGGUGAAGCUUCCAGGAACAGAAGCAGGCAGGAAGCCACCAGGAAGCAAGCUGGAAGUCCUUUUUUUCUCCAUCCUUGCAACCUUCCUCUAGUGCCCCCUAUUAGCACAACCUAAUGUUAACCCAGAUGGCAAGAAAAUAGGAUUGGCAGCACCAGUAAGACAAAGCUGCACAGAGAAGGGUGGAUUUAAAAUGGAAAGACAGUAACUUAAUGAUGAACACAUAUGGGACAGGUGACCCUUCAUUGGCCAUACUUCCAUGGUGCCCAGAACAGUGAUGGCUAGAGUGUGGUAUUAGAAAGACCUUGGAUUUGGAGUAAAUGGACCCAUUUCUACUGCUUAAUUUCAGUGUGACUUAUUGGUCAAGUCAUCAAUAUCUCUAAGCUUUCAUUUCCUUAUCUGUAAAAUGGCAAAAAUAACCCCUGACCUACAUCCUACCUACCUACCUUUGAUGCAAGCAAGAAAUCAGU